rnacentral:tRNA from 1 species
CUCCCUGUAGCUCAGCUGGACAGAGCAACUGCCUUCUAAGCAGUGGGUCGAGAGUUCGAAUCUCUCCGGGGAGGCCA